UUUAGACUUAACGGCACAAUCUAGCCCACCAUUAGACUAAAAGAUAUUCGACCGGGGUACAGCCCUGCCGAAUAAGGAUACAACCUAAGCUAGAGGGCCAGAACUACAACGCACUAUCAGUAGGCCUUUAAGCCGCCACCAACAAACAGAGCGUCACAGCACAACACCAGAAAUACAAACAAUUCAAUCAAACCCCUAGUAAACAACUGAGCCACACUAUACAAAUAGCAGCACUAAUGCUAAAACGAGUAACAAGAAAGCUUCUCUCAGCACCCCUGUGCCCCAGAAAUAGAAGCCCUACUGGACACUAACAGACCAAAACAGGAAUCACUAAAACUGUCAAACCAACACCGGAGUGCCCUAAAGAAGGUUAAAAACUAUAUAAGGAACUCAGCAACACCCUGUCCCAACUGUUUACCAAAAACACAGCCUUUAGCCAAACAAGUAUUAAAGGUGCUGCCUGCCCAGUGAAGUAUUUUAAACGGCCGCGGUAUCCUAACCGUGCAAAGGUAGCGUAAUCACUUGUCUUUUAAAUAAAGACUUGUAUGAACGGCUAAAUGAGGACAACCCUGUCUCUUAUAGUCAACCAGUGAAACUGAUCUUUAAGUACAAAAGCUUAAAUAAGCACAUAAGACGAGAAGACCCGUGGAGCUUAAAACAAACACUAUUAGACCCAAAAUAGCAUAAGUUUUAGUUGGGGCGACUUCGGAAUUAAACUAAACUUCCGAGCACCGGGCCAACCACCCGCUCCUAGAUCAACAAGUCAAAGAAAGCACCGACCCAGUCACACUGAGCAACGAACCAAGUUACCCCAGGGAUAACAGCGCCAUCUUCUUCAAGAGUCCAUAUGACAAGAAGGUUUACGACCUCGAUGUUGGAUCAGGACACCCCAACGGUGCAGCCGCUGUUAAAGGUUCGUUUGUU
rnacentral:rRNA from 1 species